GAAUUUUGGACAAUGGGGGCAACCCUGAUCCAGCCAUGCCGCGUGAGUGAAGAAGGCCUUCGGGUCGUAAAGCACUGUCGGGAGGGAAGAAUCCAUGACGGUACCCCCCAAGAAAGCGCCGGCUAACCCCGUGCCAGCAGCCGCGGUAAUACGGGGGGCGCAAGCGUUGCUCGGAAUCACUGGGCGUAAAGCGUACGCAGGCGGCGCGUUAAGUCGGGUGUGAAAGCCCGGGGCUCAACCCCGGAACUGCAUUCGAUACUGGCGCGCUUGAGUACGGGAGAGGGAAGCGGAAUUCCUGGUGUAGAGGUGAAAUUCGUAGAUAUCAGGAGGAACAUCAGUGGCGAAAGCGGCUUCCUGGUCCGAUACUGACGCUCAUGUACGAAAGCGUGGGGAGCAAA
rnacentral:rRNA from 1 species